GCGCCUGUAGCUCAAUUGGAUAGAGCGUUGGAUUCCGGUUCCAAAGGUUGGGGGUUCGAGCCCCUCCAGGCGCACCA
rnacentral:tRNA from 1 species